rnacentral:rRNA from 1 species
UACGUAGGGUGCAGGCGUUAAUCGGAAUUACUGGGCGUAAAGCGUGCGCAGGCGGUUUCUUAAGUCAGAUGUGAAAGCCCCGGGCUUAACCUGGGAACUGCGUUUGAAACUGGGAGACUUGAGUGUGGCAGAGGGGGGUGGAAUUCCACGUGUAGCAGUGAAAUGCGUAGAUAUGUGGAGGAACACCGAUGGCGAAGGCGGCUCUCUGGGACGGUACUGACGCUGAGACGCGAAAGCGUGGGGAGCGAACAGG